GUCCCCGUAGCUCAGUGGAUAGAGCACUGGCUUCCGGAGCCAGGUGUCGGGAGUUCGAAUCUCUCCGGGGACG
rnacentral:tRNA from 1 species